UUUCUUUUCAAGGCUUCCUGAUCCCUGUGCAUAAUAAGUUUACUUCACUGCUUACAAACACUGAGAAGUCACCAGAUCUUUCUCAGUAUGGAUCAAAUCAGUCAUCUGACCUAGAAGGGGAAGAAGGUUAUCAAAUACUCAUAUCCUUCAACACAAGUAUGUUAAGAAUAAGAAUGAUUGAGACUGUUUCAUUCUAUGAGACAAUUUAACUGGCAUGAAUCAGAUAUGCUGGAGACUAUCUUUUCUUCCUUUUUACCAGAUAAACCAAAAUAAAGCCAAAAACUUUUCUAA
ensembl:lncRNA novel transcript, antisense to P4HA1